rnacentral:rRNA from 1 species
GAUGAACGCUGGCGGCGUGCCUAAUACAUGCAAGUCGAGCGAACGGACGAGGAGCUUGCUCCUCUGAUGUUAGCGGCGGACGGGUGAGUAACACGUGGAUAACCUACCUAUAAGACUGGGAUAACUUCGGGAAACCGGAGCUAAUACCGGAUAAUAUUUUGAACCGCAUGGUUCAAAAGUGAAAGACGGUCUUGCUGUCACUUAUAGAUGGAUCCGCGCUGCAUUAGCUAGUUGGUAAGGUAACGGCUUACCAAGGCAACGAUGCAUAGCCGACCUGAGAGGGUGAUCGGCCACACUGGAACUGAGACACGGUCCAGACUCCUACGGGAGGCAGCAGUAGGGAAUCUUCCGCAAUGGGCGAAAGCCUGACGGAGCAACGCCGCGUGAGUGAUGAAGGUCUUCGGAUCGUAAAACUCUGUUAUUAGGGAAGAACAAAUGUGUAAGUAACUAUGCACGUCUUGACGGUACCUAAUCAGAAAGCCACGGCUAACUACGUG